UACGUAGGGUCCGAGCGUUGUCCGGAAUUAUUGGGCGUAAAGGGCUCGUAGGCGGUCUGUUGCGUCGGGAGUGAAAACUUACAGCUUAACUGUGAGCGUGCUUCCGAUACGGGCAGACUUGAGGUAUUCAGGGGAGAACGGAAUUCCUGGUGUAGCGGUGAAAUGCGCAGAUAUCAGGAGGAACACCGGUGGCGAAGGCGGGUCUCUGGGCCAUAACUGACGCUGAGGAGCGAAAGCAUGGGGAGCGAACAGG
rnacentral:rRNA from 1 species